GAUGAACGCUGGCGGCGUGCUUAACACAUGCAAGUCGAGCGAAGCGCUUAAGUUUGAUUCUUCGGAUGAAGACUUUUGUGACUGAGCGGCGGACGGGUGAGUAACGCGUGGGUAACCUGCCUCAUACAGGGGGAUAACAGUUAGAAAUGGCUGCUAAUACCGCAUAAGACCACAGUACUGCAUGGUACAGUGGUAAAAACUCCGGUGGUAUGAGAUGGACCCGCGUCUGAUUAGGUAGUUGGUGAGGUAACGGCCCACCAAGCCGACGAUCAGUAGCCGACCUGAGAGGGUGACCGGCCACAUUGGGACUGAGACACGGCCCAGACUCCUACGGGAGGCAGCAGUGGGGAAUAUUGCACAAUGGGCGAAAGCCUGAUGCAGCGACGCCGCGUGAAGGAUGAAGUAUUUCGGUAUGUAAACUUCUAUCAGCAGGGAAGAAAAUGACGGUACCUGACUAAGAAGC
rnacentral:rRNA from 1 species